rnacentral:rRNA from 1 species
AAUGAACGCUGGCGGCGCGCCUAAUACAUGCAAGUCGAGCGAGAAGACGUAGCAAUACGUUUGUAAAGCGGCGAACGGGUGAGGAAUACAUGGGUAACCUACCCUAGAGUGGGGAAUAACUAGCCGAAAGGUUAGCUAAUACCGCGUACGCUCCUUGGACUUCGGUUCAGGGAGGAAAGCGAUGCCGAGGGUAUCGCGCUCUUGGAUGGGCUCAUGUCCUAUCAGCNGUUGGUGAGGUAACGGCUCACCAAGGCUUCGACGGGUAGCUGGUCUGAGAGGACGAUCAGCCACACUGGCACUGCGACACGGGCCAGACUCCUACGGGAGGCAGCAGUAAGGAAUAUUGCGCAAUGGGCGAAAGCCUGACGCAGCGACGCCGCGUGGGGGAUGAAGGUCUUCGGAUUGUAAACCCCUUUCGGGAGGGAAGAUGGAAUGGGGUAACCCAUUCGGACGGUACCUCCAGAAGCAGCCACGGCUAACUUCGUGCC